AUACUGUGAUAGAAUUCAUUAGAGUUUAAGCCUAAAAAAUACACUGAAUAUUGAGCUGCAGCUAAGAACUCUCAAGAGCUUCAUAUGAACAAGUUUUUCUGUGAUGUUUGAUGAUGAUCCAAGCCAGAAAAACUCAUUGAUUCAAGCCUUGUGUGUGUGUUAACUGAUAAGAAAUUGAUGCUGUCAAAUUUGCUGGUGCAAGGGCUGGAUUGAGUAGUGAAAAUCUGUUCAAGGCUGAUGUGGUUACAUUUGAAGGCUGACACAGCUGUUGAAAUUGGCCGUGGGACAAAAUAUUGGCACACUGUGGUUUUGACUGUGCAAAACCCUAAACCUGAACUGUGCCGCGUUGGUUUAUUGACUGAGGCUGAACUUUGUGAUAUACUCAUGCUGCUCUUGAUUGUUUAAAGUUAUGAACAUGAGUAAUACAGUGAAACAAGACCGUGGAAGGUGCUGGUGAACUGUUCUUGAAGGGAAAUUCCAAUUUUACCCCUCAAACCCUAACUUCAGCUGAAUGGUGUUUUGAGGUAGUAACUUGGAGUUUUGAGCUGUCUAACCUAUUUCAAUUGUAGGAAAGACUUGUUUAUAUUGUUUUACAUCUGCUAUGGUGUAUUUGGUCAGCUGUGAGAGCUUAUUUGGUCCAAGUAAGGUUGCUUAGGACAGGGGGAGUGCCUGUGUGCACUGUGGUUAACUAGUGUGCAUAUUGGUUGUGAAAACUAGUGUCUAUUAUUGUACAAGGGUGUGUGCAGAGAGUGAGACAGCCGAGUAACAAGAUACAUACAGCUAGUAGUUGAUUUUAUUGGCUGAGGCCAAGAACCAAGGUCUUUCCCUAGUUGAGAGGGUUUCCUUGCAA